GACGAACGCUGGCGGCGUGCUUAACACAUGCAAGUCGAACGGUGAAGCGCCUUCCUUUUUGGUGGGUGUGGAUGAGUGGCGAACGGGUGAGUAACACGUGAGUAACCUGCCCCCUUCUUCUGGAUAACCGCAUGAAAGUGUGGCUAAUACGGGAUAUUCUGGGUCUGUCGCAUGAUGGGUCUGGGAAAGAUAUUGUUUCGGUGGGGGAUGGGCUCGCGGCCUAUCAGCUUGUUGGUGGGGUGAUGGCCUACCAAGGCGGUGACGGGUAGCCGGCCUGAGAGGGUCGACGGCCACACUGGGACGGAGACACGGCCCAGACUCCUACGGGAGGCAGCAGGGGGGAAUAUUGCACAAUGGGCGCAAGCCUGAUGCAGCGACGCCGCGUGAGGGAUGGAGGCCUUCGGGUUGUGAACCUCUUUCGACAGUGAAGCAGGCCUGCCUCGUUUGUGGGUGGGUUGACGGUAGCUGGAUAAGAAGCGCCGGCUAACUACGUG
rnacentral:rRNA from 1 species